AAAGUCGUAACAAGGUUUCCGUAGGUGAACCUGCGGAAGGAUCAUUGCAGAGGGUUGAAGAGAAAAGUAUGUUGGAAUGUGAGAAGAGUAAAAUUUGACAACUACAACAAAACUAUAAUAACUAGCCACCUUGGAUCUCUGGGCUCUU
rnacentral:misc_RNA from 1 species